rnacentral:sRNA from 1 species
UGUAUCGGAAGCCUGACGAGGAUGAGAACCUCCGGGGGCAAGAGGUUCGACUCGAGCGCAGCGAGAGAACGUUGCGUCAGCAACGGCCCGCAGGGCGAGCCACGCA